rnacentral:misc_RNA from 1 species
GGUUCAAAUUGUUGUCAACAUACAACCUACUCUAAUUCAAUCGAGCAACAAUUUGCAUGGAGCUCCAAGCAGUAUGGGUCAGGGAUCAGCAUUACCGACAUCUCCAUCUGGAGGAAGCACAGACUCAAUGAAUGCCGGAAGAUCAAAUACCUCAGUAUCUGGAAUAAAUACUCCGAACUUUGUGUCGCGAAGUGGGUAUACAUGCCAACAACUUUC